rnacentral:lncRNA from 1 species
CAAGAAGUUAUUCUGGCUCUGAUAUUUUCAAUUAGUAGUUUUCAUUGUAAUAAUAUGAGCUUCUUUGUUGAUAAAGGCGCAUUCAGGUAUUUGAAAAGUAAGGUUCCAUGCACAAAACCUAAGUGGCUCAAUAUGUUGUCUUGAGUCUCUUUUUUAACUCCCCCAAAAGGCACACAACUCUUGCCAAGAUUAUUCUGCAAUUCUGAAGCUUUAGACCUCUGGCUAAAAGAUUUGUGUAGAGCAGUAAUAAAAAUAUGUUUCCUU